rnacentral:rRNA from 1 species
AUUGAACGCUGGCGGCAGGCUUAACACAUGCAAGUCGAGCGGAGCGGCGGACGGGUGAGUAAUGCCUAGGAAUCUGACUGGCAGUGGUGGAUAACGUACGGAAACGGGCGCUAAUACCGCAUACUAUCUGAAGAGCCUAGGUCGGAUGAGCUAGUUGGUGGGGUAAGGGGUUACGGAGGCGACGAUCCGUAACUGGUAUGAGAGGAUGAUCAGUCACACUGGAACUGAGAAACGGUCCAGACUCCUACGGGAGGCAGCAGUGGGGAAUAGUGGACAAUGGGCGAAAGCCGGAUCCAGCCAUGCCGCGUGUGUGAAGAAGGUCUUCGGAUUGUAAAGCACUUUAAGUUGGGAGGCGUUACCUACAGAAUAAGCACCGGCUAACUUCGUGCCAGCAGCCGCGGUAAUUC